rnacentral:lncRNA from 10 species
GUGGAAGGCUCUUGUAUCUGUUCGAACCCUGAGAGCACACACCAAUAAACAACACAAGGCUGUGUGGAGCAACAUGCUGUUUUAAUAAGUGCCUGGGUGCAGGCCGGCUGAGGCCUAAAACGGUGUCAGCACCAAAUGAGGAUGGGGCAGAGGUUUUAUAGUCUUUUGUAAGCAGAAGUGUCUCAGUCUGAUGUAACUGCUACAUGGUACCCAGAUGGCCUCUCUCUUGAUCUUCAGGGGGUACACGUCUUCCAUCCAGCUCUCUUCCUGCUUCUGCUAUCUUGCUGACACACGCUGCUGGUGCAAGUGGCCUUGUGCCUUGGGACUGGGCCUGAGAAGUUGCCUGCAUGUUCCAAUCAGCCAAGAAGAUGUCAUAGAGCAUUUUUUCUAUAGCCUGUUUAAGAAGGGCUGAGAAAAGGACAGGAGAAGAAACUGGGUGCAGAAUUGGUUUUUCCCUCUUCUUCCUACCUGAGCCAUCCAGACAGCACAGCUGCCCCACAGGACAGAGGCUGCUGCCACAGAGCCUGUUCUUUGGAUUCUGGAAGACACGGUGUAGAAUGUAAUGCUAGGGGUUUGCAAGAAUAUUACUGACAUCUUCCCAAAUGAAACCUUCGCCCUUUAUUUUAAUCAUUGUUGCCUCUGUAUCUGAAGCAUCUAGAAGAAUGAACGGUACGGAGCAGACACUCAAGCAGUAUUGGCUGAAUAAAUAAUUGACUGACGCCUUAUCAAAUCAAUACCUACUAACUUUAGAAAUUUUGGAAAAUACAUGUGUGCAUGCACAUGUGCAAUAUUACCAUCCUGAUUAUCACCGUUAACAUUUCAGCGAAAUAUUUUUGGAAGAUUCCAUACUAACGUUGUUGAAUCUCCUAAAGAGAUCAUGAUGAUUGAAUCCUGGAAAAGUUAAUCAAGGCAGUCAAGAGGGCCAGGGACAGGCAAAAAACUGAUUUGAAAGAGAAGCUGAGAGGAAACUUUAGGAUGAAUCUUUUCAAAUAAGUUCAAGCAGGCCAAUAGAAUCAUUUACUCCAGAAAAUCUCACUAAGGUGCCUUCAGGAACACAGUAUGAAGGAAAAGAAGAUUGUGUCUGACUGUAUGAAAAAAAAAAAGCUAUAGGUCUUGAAGUUUCUGUUUAUGGCAGAUAAUAUAUAGCACUUGACCUCUCUCACCCUGUAAUCUAUGAAUCUCUAUUAUUUCCCUUGAUAUGUACCAGCCUCAAAUUUGAUUCUACUUUGACUGGCAGUGAGAGUUGUUCACACUCCAAUAUUUACAGAAAACAUCAAUUUCCAGAAGCCUAGAUAUUUAUGAAUUAUAUUAGAAUUAUUUGUGUGAUAUACAGCAAAUGUAUUGCUGACCUAGUUAGAAUUCUUUCAAAAGUGCUUUGUUAGUGCAUUUGAGAAGCUUAAUGUGCAGGGUGGCCUGUUUAGAGUAGGUUCCAAUUAAUUCAUCAUGUCCAGCUAUAGUGACAGCUACUUUAAGUUUUGGGCCAAGAACAAGUUUAUUCAAUCCCAAAUCUGUACAUCCAUUCUGCCUAGAAGGUAACCUCAUUGCACGUCACCUAGCAGUGGCCACAACCCCCUGGGCUGAGCAGAUUUCUUCCCCUUCUCCAACAACCUCCCUUUGCUCAGCACAUGUCUGUAUUCUCAUUCCUGAUCAUCGCUGAUCUACUCGAAACCUUAUUUCAAAGUCCCUAAUCCUGGCCAGGAGUGAUGGCUUAUGCCUGUAAUCCCAGCAUUUUGGGAGGCCGAGGUGAACAGAUCACUUGAGGCCAGGAGUUCGAGACCAGCCUGGCCAACAUGGUGAAAACCCGUCUCUACUAAAAAUACAAAAAUUAGCCAGGCAUUAUGGUACAUACCUGUAAUCCCAGCUACUUGAGAGGUUGAGGCAGGUGAAUUGCUUGAACCCGAGAAGUGGAGGUUACGGUGAGCAGAGAUCAUGCCACUGCACUCUAGCCUGGGCAACAGAGCAAAACUCUGUCUCAAAAAACAAACAAACAAAAACAAAAACAAAACAACCUGAUAUUUUCUUUGUUCAUUAUGAUCCCAUCCAUUUUCCAAUUAGGGAGUUUCCAAAAUUAUAACUUCUCAAAUUAUUGUGCUUUGACUAACCAGUAAAUAAAUCUCUAAGCAAAAGAAUGGCUUAAGAAAAUAUGUGUGCUAGGACAGGAAAGUGCCUGGCCACAGAGCCAAAGCUCAAAAAUAUUAAAACAAUAAAGAAGAAAAAUAGAAGAUCAAAUCCACAUCAGUAAUUCAUUCAACAAAUAUUAAUUGAAGGCUUACUAUAUGCCAGAUACUUGGGUCAGGGCUGAUGGUGAGCAAAACAGAUGGAAUCCCUGCUCUGAGGAAUCUCACAGUCUACGGUGGACAGAAAUAUCAGUCAAGUAACUGAAAGAGAAAUGUAAAAUGGCAAAAUGUACAACAGUUUAGAUGUGUUACUAGUAUGACAGUAUUUGAUUAUAAGAUGUGAUAUAGCCAUAAAAUAUUGUUAAAGGAGUAGCAUGUAUUAAGGCUAUGGGAAGAGGGGAGCAGCAUUGUGUGUUUGAACAAAGGAAGGAAGGCUGGUGUGGUUGGAACUGAGAGAGAUUAGCUUAGAGAGGAAAAUAGGGACCAGACAAUUCUGGGGCUUUUAAGACAUGUUCAACUACAUGCACAGGGAAGCGGAUUUACAUAGGAUCUCAAACUGACAUUUAGUCACAUGAUUUGCCUGCACAAUUUGUCCAUACAUAGUAUUGAUACUUCUUUUAUGUUAGAGAUGCUGAUGAAAGGAAAUGAUUGAAUGGAAAUGGGGUGAGCUAGUCUGUGUAUUGAACUUCAACACAAGGUCCUGAUAUGAGUGCUUCAAACCCAAUACCUUGCAUUCUUCUUCCCACCUGGUUUCUUUUUAUUUUUAAAUUUCAACUUUUAUUUUAGAUACAGCAGGCCCACGUGCAGGCUCAUUGCAUGGGUAUAUUGUGUGAUGCUGAGGUAUAGUGUACUCAUCCUAUCACUCAGUUAAUGAGUAUAAUACCCAUUAGGUAGUUUAGCAAUACAAUCCCACCUCCCUUCUGCCCCCUCAGUAGUCCCCAGUGUCUAUUGUUCCAAUAGUUAUGUCCAUGUGUGCUCAGUAUUUAGCCCCCACUUACAAGUGAGAACAUGCAGUGCUUGGUUUUCUGUUCUUGCGUUAAUUCAGUUAGGAUAAUGCCCUCCAGCUGCAUCCAUGUUGCCGCAAAGGACAUGAUCUCAUUCUUUUAUGGCUGCAUAGUAUUCCACGGUGUAUAUGUACCACAUUUUCUUUAAAAAAAAAAAUAGUUUUCUGUGAGUGAGUUUAGCAUGCAGUGAUGCACUGCAUCAUCUUUUGUUUGUGGUUGCAACAACGUGUCGCUGUACGCUGUCCUGUGGCGUUAGCUAGAGGUGGCCCCUUGAAAUUACUUAUGUCUCCCAGUUGAUAAUCACAGUAGAAUUAGCUGGAGACAUUCACAGAGAUGUCCUGUCACAUAUCUGAUUUUCAGGAGGUCUAGAGUUACUGUGGAGGAAAACAGAUUUGAAACUUGGUUUUGACUCAUGUCUGGAAAAGUAUAGAAAAAAUGCAAUUGGCAGAAUUCAGAUUUUAAAUGUGGCAAGAGCCUGAGGGUAUUAGAAUUCAAAAUUUUGGAGAGAGAGGGUGCUAUAGUAAAGCACAAAUACUGCAUCUUUUAGAGGCCCAUCCACUCUGCUUGAGACUCACACUUCAAAGAGGGGUUUGUGGAGGGUAUUCUCCAUUCGACAGAAAGGUGGAGCUGGAGAAACGUGAGAAAUAAAGCAGAUUAAGUCAAGGGGUCUUAAAAGUUAGGAAAGUAGGCUGGGCACAGUGGCUCAAGCCUGUAAUCCAGUGCUUUGAGAGCCCAAGGCAGGGGAAUUGCAAGGUCAGGAGUUCGAGACCAGUCUGACCAACAUGGUGAAACCCCAUCUCUACUAAAAAUACAAAAAUUAGCUGGGCGUGGUGGUGCGCACCUGUAAUCCCAGCCACUCAGGAGGCUGAGGCAGGAGAAUCACUUGGACACUGGAGGCAGAUGUUGCAGUGAGCUGAGAUUGUACCACUGCACUCCAGCCUGGGCAACAGAGUGAGACUCUGUCUCAAAAAAGAAAAAAAAAAAGAGCAAAAGAGUUAGGAAAGUAAUGAGGUUGGCCCAGAAGGACUAGAGAGACCUCAGCAGACAGAUCUCUGCAGACAGACAGACUCCCACAGCAAGGGAGGAAUGCCAGUGGGAGGGGAAGAAGGAGCAGGACUGAAGGCACAGACUAGAGCUUGGAGGACAAGACAAGGAAACCUGUCCUGUGUUCCUCUGGGUACUCCAAGGUACAUGAUCUGCUAUGUGAGCAUAGAAGCUGUUGAUCUAGUAUAUGCAGGAAAAAGUGGACAGUUGUCAUCCUCAGAACUUACCUGCUAGUGGGAUUUAUGGGACAACCCAGUUCUGUUGUGCUAGACUAUCUAGCUCUAUGCUUGAAACAUACAUAGAUAAUAUUGUUCAUGUGUGCGUAUAUGUGUGUGCAUGUACGUGUGUGUGUGUGCAUGGUCAGUUGUACCAGCAAGAGUAAUAUAAUGGUUCAAAGAUCCUCAUCUUGGAAAAUGCCUCAUGCUAUGAAGUUGAAUACUGCAUAUCACCAGAUAUCAAAGUCCCAUAAGAGGGUAAAAUCACCUUUAAAUUGAGAACUGAAGUUAUAUUUGUGGGCCCUCUUCUAUCUCCUUGUGAGACAUCCUUGUGCUAAUCUGGAUGCGAAACUUGCGUGAUAGGAGAAGACACGCUGAACCGGAAGGUCUGUGCAAUGUGGAAGGAGGUGUGCUUUUCAUGUCUCUUAUACUCAUUGAACCAUGAGUGCAAAAUGGCUUCACCUGUGCCACAGUACUUGGCGGGAUCAUGAUGUCAAUUAGGUUUCAUGAGACUCUGUAAAGCAAAUUUGUUUAUUUGCUCACUGAGUUAUCCAAAGACAAAAGGAGGACUGUGCCUCCAGCACAAUAAUUAAUUAUAAAGUCAUCACACAUAUUUCAUUAAUGUUGGCUGGCUUCUCAGAAGUCCCUCUCAGAGGGCAGGGGCCAUGUGUAAGUAUAACUCUAUUUAGCAUCUACUAAAAAGACACUUUGAUUGGAAUCUGUGUGAUCAUAAACUUCUUUACUAGGUUGUGUGUUCCUUGAAGGAAAGGAUUUUAUCUUUCAUUUAUUCAAUAAAUAUUUAUAACUUUAUAAAGUAGUAAAAAAUACCAAAAAUAUCUUCAUGCAGCUUAUGUUCUGUUUUUUAAAAUUUAAUUAUUUUUAAUUGGUAAAUAAUAAUUAUAUAUAUUUAUGGUGUGCGAUUUGUUAUAUGUAUAUAAUUGCAGAAUGAUUAAAUCAAGCAAUUAAAAUAUUCAUCACCUCACAUAUUUAUCAUUUCUUUGUGGUAAGAAUGUUUAAACCUAGAAGGACCCUAUAAAAUUGAACUUUAUACUCUUUCACCAGCAUCUCCCCUUUACCUAUUCACCUGUCCCCAGCUCCCCAGCCUGUGAUAAUGACCACUCCACUCGUUACUUCUACUGAGUUUGACUAUUUUAGAUUCCACAUAUAAGUAAGAUGAUGCAGUAUUUGUCUUUGUCUUAUUUCAUUUAAUGUAAUGUCCUCUAGAUUCAUCCAUGUUGUCACAAUGACAGAAUUUCCCUCAUUUUUAAGGUUGAAUUGUAUUCCAUUUGUGUAUAUAUACCACAUUUUCUUUUUUUAUUCAUCUUUUUCCUGAACACUUGGGUUGCUUCCAUAUCUGUGCUAUUGUGAAUAAUGAUGCGAUAAACAUGAGAGUUCACGUAUCUCCUAGACACAGCAAUUUCAAUUCCUUUGGUUUUCUACCCAGAAGUGGGAUUGCUGAAUCACAUGGUAAUUCCAUUUUUAAUUUUCUGAGGAGCUUUCAUACUAUGGCUCUGUAAUAACUAUACUAAUUUAUAUUCCCACCAAUAGUGUCCAAGGACUCCCUUUUCUCCACAUCUUGCCAAUACUUAUCUUUCAUCAUCUUGGUAAUAGCUCUUCUAACAGGGAAUAUUGUGGUUUCAAUUUGCAUUUCCCUGAUAAUUAGUAAUGUUGAGCCUUUUUUCACGUAUCUGUUGGUGAUAUGUAUGUCCCUUUUUUUGAAAUAUCUAUUCAGGUCUUUUCACCCACUUUUUUAAUCAGGUCAUUUGGGGGUUUUUUGCUAUUAAAUUCCAUAUAGAUUUGGAUAUUGAUUCCUAAUCAGAUGCAUUGUUUGCAAAUAUUUUCUCACAUGCUGUGGGUUGUCUUUUCACUCUGUUGUUUCCUUUUCAGAAACUUUUAAAUAUGAUGUAAUCAUCCCAUUUGUCUAUUUCUGCCUUUAUGGCCUGCACUUUUGGGGUAGUAUCCAAUAAUUCAUUGCUCAGACCAAUAUCAUGGAGCUUUCCUCUUUGUUUUCUUCUAGUAGUUUUAUAGUUUCAGGUCUUAUACAUCGAGUAUUUCUCUAACACUUCUAUAAUGCUGACUGUAUUCCAAGCGCAGGUCAAAGCUCUUGACAUAUAUUAACAACUUAAAGCAACAACCCAAUGAGGCAGGUACUAGCCUAUUUCUAUCUUAUAUACUGAAGGAGACUAAAGCAGAAGCAGUUUAAGUGUUGUCCAAGGGUGCACAACUAGUAAGUGGUGGUGCUGGAAUUUGUACCCUGGCAGUUUGGCUUCAAAGUCUACCUGUGUUUUCACUUUAUUAUCUCUUUCCUUUUAAAUUACCUUUUUAUUACUAGUGCCUAGCAUAGCUCUCUGCAAAGAAUAAAUGAGUGCUAAUUGAAUAAGCCAAUGAAACAAUGACAUUUAUCAUGCUAAUGGUGAUGAUGAUGAAAAGAUACUGAUAAUAAUGAUUUAUAUUAAUUGAGUUGCCACCCAUACUAUGUUUCAUAAUUUGUAAGCACCAUAUCAUGAGAUCUUCUUUUUUUUUUAAUUACUAUACUUUAAGUUCUGGGAUACAUGUGCAGAACGUGCAGGUUUGUUACAUAGGUAUACAUGUGCCUUGGUGGUUUGCUGCACCCACCAACCCGUCAUCUAGGUUUUAAGCCCCGCAUGUAUUAGGUAUUUGUCCUAAUUCUCUCCCUCCCCUUGCCCCCAACCCCGCAACAGGUGCUGGUGUGUGAUGUUCCCCUCCCUGUGUCCAUACGUUCUCAUUGUUCAACUUCCACUUAUGAGUGAGAACAUGCAGUGUUUGGUUUUCUGUUCCUUUGUUAGUUUGCUGAGAAUGAUGGUUUCCAGCUUCAUCUAUGUCCCUGCAGAGGACAUGAACUCAUUCUUUUUUAUGGCUGCAUGGAAUUCUAUAGUGUAUAUGUGCCACAUUUUCUUCAUCCAGUCUAUCAUUGAUGGGCAUUUGGGUUGGUUCCAAGUCUUUGCGAUUGUGAAUAGUGCUGCAAUAAACAUACGUGUGUAUAUGUCUUUAAAGGAGAACGAUUUAUAA